CUAGUCGAGCACAGAAAAAUGUUCACGACUGCUGCUUUGUUGGAAGUACAUAGACGUAUUUUGAAAGGAUAAAAUCAUGUUGUUAUGAUUGAUUAUUAGAGGAUGUUCCUAUCUGGUGGAGAGGUUGGCUUCUUGUCUUGCAUCUUCAAAAAGAGCCACAAAAACAAGGUGACAUGCUAACAGACAGCAAGUUUGGACAGUCUCAAUGGCAGAUCCAUCGGGUCAAGUGUCCCAAUUCAACAUGUCUCCAAUAUAAGAAGCUUUUUGAAAUCCCUUAGCAAUGAAAGCAUCAACUAUACAUUCACAUUUCUACUACUUUCUCUUUACUGACAUCAAUGAUGAAAUGCCUGUAAACUCUAUGAAGGGGAUGGGCAUUUCUGAAAACGUGGUCAGUGUUUUUCUUUUCAGCAUCAUAGGUUUAGUGGUGAAUUUGAGACAUAUAAAAAGUGCUCCAUGUGACCCCCAUAAUAAACGAGUGAUGUUCAAACAUGGGCUUUAA